CCUGACGGUAGUCGUAUGCUCGUCUCCGAGACUAAGCCAUGCAAGUCCAAGUACACGUCCUUGAACGACGGAAACUGCGAACGGCUCAUUAAAUCAGUUGCGAUCUACUCGGCGUUCCGCGCCGCCGGAUAACCGUAGUAAUUCUAGGGCUAAUACGUGCGAAGCGCCCGAAGCCGCGAGGCGACGGGCGUUCUCGCCGGAUGUAGGAACCGACCCGGGGACCGCCGGGGCAACCCGGCGCCCCCGAGACGGGGCGAACCACGGUGAAAUGACGGAUCGUCGGCCCCGCGCCGGCGACUCGCCGAAUGAGUUUCUGACCUAUCAACUCGAGACGGCGGGGUAGAGGCCCGCCGCGGUAACGACGGGUAACGGGGAAUCAGGGUUCGAUUCCGGAGAGGGAG
rnacentral:rRNA from 1 species